rnacentral:rRNA from 1 species
GUACACUCCUACGGGAGACAGCAGUGGGGAAUUUUGGACAAUGGGCGAAAGCCUGAUCCAGCAAUGCCGCGUGAGUGAAGAAGGCCUUCGGGUUGUAAAGCUCUUUUGUCAGGGAAGAAACGGUGAGAGCUAAUAUCUCUUGCUAAUGACGGUACCUGAAGAAUAAGCACCGGCUAACUACGUGCCAGCAGCCGCGGUAAUACGUAGGGUGCAAGCGUUAAUCGGAAUUACUGGGCGUAAAGCGUGCGCAGGCGGUUUUGUAAGUCUGAUGUGAAAUCCCCGGGCUCAACCUGGGAAUUGCAUUGGAGACUGCAAGGCUAGAAUCUGGCAGAGGGGGGUAGAAUUCCACGUGUAGCAGUGAAAUGCGUAGAUAUGUGGAGGAACACCGAUGGCGAAGGCAGCCCCCUGGGUCAAGAUUGACGCUCAUGCACGAAAGCGUGGGGAGCAAACAGGAUUAGAAACCCGAGUAGUCCCA